GGCCUCAUCAAUCAACAACCACAUUACAUCAACACCUUGAGGGAUGGCAGAAUCCACCUCAGGCUGGAACCACACCUUUGCAGUCUCUCGAAAGCAAGAAAUGGUGACAAAGAAGCUCGCUGGUGCUGCUUCUGAAACAGCUGCCUGGGUUACAAAUGUUGGUAUGUUGGCUUUCCAAGAUGGUGGCUGG